GGUUGUGGCUCAGGGGUAGUGCACUUGCCUAGCAUGCAUGAGGCAUGGGGUUCAAUCCCCGGCACCA
rnacentral:tRNA from 1 species